UCAAAUUUGAAAUCUGGCACCUUCGGUGUCCGAGUUGUAAUUUGAAGAAGGUAACUUUGGAGUUGGCUCUUGUCUAUGUUCCUUGGAACAGGACGUCACAGAGGGUGAGAAUCCCGUGCGAUGAGAUGUCCAACUCUAUGUAAAGUGCUUUCGAAGAGUCGAGUUGUUUGGGAAUGCAGCUCUAAGUGGGUGGUAAAUUCCAUCUAAAGCUAAAUAUUGGCGAGAGACCGAUAGCGAACAAGUACAGUGAUGGAAAGAUGAAAAGAACUUUGAAAAGAGAGUGAAAAAGUACGUGAAAUUGUUGAAAGGGAAGGGUUUGAGAUCAGACUUGGUAUUUUGUAUGUCUUGCUUUCGGGUGGGGCCUCUGCAGUUUACUGGGCCAGCAUCGGUUUGGACGGUAGGAUAAUGACAUUGGAAUGUGGCACUACUUCGGUGGUGUGUUAUAGACUUUGUUGAUACUGCCUGUCUAGACCGAGG
rnacentral:rRNA from 1 species